rnacentral:rRNA from 1 species
UAGGGAAUCUUCGGCAAUGGGGGGAACCCUGACCGAGCAACGCCGCGUGAGUGAAGAAGGUUUUCGGAUCGUAAAGCUCUGUUGUUAAGGAAGAACGAGUGUGAGAAUGGAAAGUUCAUACUGUGACGGUACUUAACCAGAAAGGGACGGCUAACUACGUGCCAGCAGCCGCGGUAAUACGUAGGUCCCGAGCGUUGUCCGGAUUUAUUGGGCGUAAAGCGAGCGCAGGCGGUUAGAUAAGUCUGAUGUGAAAGCCCCCGGCUCAACCGGGGAGGGUCAUUGGAAACUGGUUGACUUGAGUGCAGAAGAGGAGAGUGGAAUUCCAUGUGUAGCGGUGAAAUGCGUAGAUAUAUGGAGGAACACCAGUGGCGAAGGCGACUCUCUGGUCUGUAACUGACGCUGAGGUUCGAAAGCGUGGGUAGCAAACAGG